UCUUUCUUUUUUUCUUUUUUUUUUUUUAGACCGAGUCUUGCUCUGUCACCCAGGCUGGAGUGCAAUGGUGCGAUCUUGGCUCACUACAACCUCCGCCUCCCGGAUUCAAGCAAUUCUCCUGUCUUCAGCCUCCCAAGUAGCUGGAUUGCAGGUGUCAUCUAGUUCAACAACACGCUUUUCAAAUAGGAGAUGGAAGACCACAGAAGUCACCUGAAGCUGUUUAGGAGACCCAGGCUGGAGCAAAACUGGAAUGGCCUAGCAUUGAAUCUGGUUUUCCUUUUCUUUUUAUUUAUUAAUGUAAUAAAAAAAAAUUUGGUUUCUAUUCUGCUUAGUAGAAAAGGUUUAUAUAUGGAUCACAUGUCUGUGUGUGUAUCUCUGUGUGAAAGAGUCUGUUUUUUGUAAAGCUUAUGUAUUUUUCUUCCCCUCUCUCAUUGGCAUUUAUCUCGAUGUAAUUGACUUGAGGUUUCUGGUCUUGGUAAAUUUCCUAUUUCAAAAGCUUUGAAAAAUUAUUAAAUCUAAUUUAGAAGUGUAAAAUUCCAACUCAAACUUUGGAAGUCAAAUUAAAACUCCUCUCCUUGGUAAUCUCUGAGAUAGUAUAUACAAAUAUCAUCCCUCUUAUUAAUUGUUCAGCUCUUUUCUUAAAUCAUACAUGAAUGACUUGUCAAAGACAAAGUAUUAGCAUCAGAAAGAUUCUCAGUAUCAGGACUUGGAGGUCAUGUUGCACUUCAGUCUGGAGCUUCUGAGAAUGGAACCCUGAUCUCCCAUCCUCGUAGAAUCCCCACUUUCCCGGUGAGGCCUAAACAGGAAGGGAGUACCACAGCUGGGAAGAACCCCAUGUUCCUGUUCUGGAUCAAGGGAGUGCUACCCCCACAAUGGUGAUACUAAUGCUUUUUCACGGAAACUGGCUUCCGAGUUCAACAAGACAGGCAAAGGGGACAUGGCAAAUUCCCCUCUUAACACUUAUGCUCGGAGUGACAUGUCUGUUCAUGCUCACAACCUGGCAUUAAAGCAACUCACGUGGCCAUAUCUGUCUAGAAGGGGUCAGGGAAGUGCAAUUCUUUUAUGUACCCAGAAAAGGGGGAGAAAUAUUGGGUAAAGACUACUAAUGACUACCACCUUCUGCAACCCUCACUUUUUCUGACUAUGAUGAUAAUGACACCCUUUGCCUUUACAUAGUAUAGCUGUGCCUAAUCAAAGGGCACACUGGCCAGACUUAGAGGUGGGAGUGACUUCUAAGGAGCAUGGACUUUACCUGGGAAGGUGAUGGGCUUGCUGGGGAGCUGUGGUGUUUGAGAGCCAGAUGGUUGACUCAUGAAACAGUAAUCCAGGAGUGAAACAGAAACCAAGUUCUUAGGCAGGCAGUGCUACCAAGUCAUCAAUAUGAAGGGACCAGGCAGAGAGCAGGAGACUCGGAUACUGGGGAAAUCAGACAAAACAAGAACCCACCUACCUGCCCUCUGUCCUCCUGCCUCCCACAAGUACUUCUUGUGCACUUAUAAAGUGGCAAGCACUAUUUUAGGUUCUAGGGAUUUAGCAGUGAAAAGACAAGUAGAGGAAAUAAAACAAAAAGAGUGUCUGAGGCCUUGAGUGUGCACAGGUGGAGUGACCCUGUCCAAGGUCAUGUGUGUGCACUCUACACUGAGUAUUUCAUACCCAUGGCUCAUUUGAAACAUGCAAGAACUCAAAGAGGUGAGUACUGCUAUUACAGGUUGAGUAUCCCAAAUCCAAAAAUCUGAAAUCCAAAAUACUCCAAUGAGCAUUUUUUUUUUGAGUGUCACAUCAGUACUCAAAAAUUUUCAGAUUUUGGAUUUUCAGAUUUGGGAUGCUGAUCUGGUAAGUGGAAUGCAAAUAUUCCAAAACCCAAAAAAAUCUGAAAUCUGAAGCACUUAUAGACCCAAGCAUCUCAGAUAAGGGACACUCAACCUGUAUAACCAUUUUUCCAAUGAGGCAACAGUUCUUCAGGGUGGUAAAGUGAUUGGCCCAUGGUCAUGCAAUUGAUCCAAGUCCUGGUUUUCUGACUCUAAAGGCCCUUUUCAUUUUAUUUUUGGACAAUAACAUUGUCAUUUUUAACAGAACAUACAUAUUGUAAGUUUCCAGAGUUUAGAUCUCUGCCUUCUAAGGUUACUGUUUUCCAUCUAAGUUCUAUUUUCUGCUGAUAAUUAUAAAGUUUUGAAAAUAAUUCAAGCCAUAUAUAUACAAUUUAUAAAUAUCAUAUAUACAUAUAUAUAAAAUUGUUUUACAUGACUGCUAAGGGAUUCUUCAAACUGACAUUUUUAAAAGCCAAGUGAAUAUAUUGAAGGUAUUUUAAAAAAACAGUUACUUUGAUUUGAAACAAUCUCUUGUUAUGAUAAAAGUAGUCUCAUCUCUAAAAUAGCCAAAUAUAGACAGCCAUAAGAUAAUUAAAUCAGAAUCUGUUUUCUCUUCCCAGGAAGUGAAUCUAAGUGUCAAGACAGUCCCCACUCUUUUCAGGCUUAUAGUAUUAACAGCAUCACAUCACAAAAUGUUGUCAGGUUCUUGUGGCAGCAAUAAUGCUUUCAUUUAUAAAAGGUGACCACGGUUCUUAAGUUGGUUCCUCUUGACCUCUGUCAUCUACACACACAAACAUGCACAGUCACUAGUUAGGUUAAGUUGAAUUUAGUUUAAGAAGUGCUAGAAAAAGGCUUCUGAACUGUUGAAACCAUGCCAGGGGUCAGUGGGUGGAUUUUUCACUAAAAGGGUCAUACAGAUGUCUAGGUUUUUCAGUGUGAGAUAUCCAUAUUCUAAAAUGCCAUUCUGAGCGGGAAGUAAGAAAGGGUUUUACAAAGCCUACUUUAAAAGUAUAAUGAAGCCAAAUUCUUCUGCUCCAGUUUAGAAGGGGUUUUGCACUUUUCAGGGUGGAAUACUUAAAACUCAAAAUUCACAGACCAAACAGGUACACAGGCCACAGGUACUUAGGGGUUGGAUGUUACCAAAGGGUGAAAAAAAAGAAGAGUCGAGAGAAUAGGAAUUUUCUUUCUAUAGCACUAUCUAUGAGAUGGAGCUCUGAGUAUAAGCAAUCAUUUCUGGUUCUCCAGAUUGGAAAAAUCAUCAGGAGAUCACAUCAUAAUCUGUGAAGUAGAAACUAUCCUUUAGUGGUGCCACAUUUUCUAUUUCUGAUUCUUUGGUCACACAGGGACUUUCUGGGCUAUGAAAUAGUCUAUUCAGUGAAACUAGUUAUCAUAAAAGACAUGCAAAAUCCUUUUCACAGUCUUUGUCCUGCAAUAUCUCACAAAAUUAAUUAUAAAUUGGCAUGCGACUUUCUGAUUUAGCCUGACAGUAUUGUUCCUUUCCAAGGUUUAGGCACUAGCUGCUAUUAUUAAGAUAGGAAUUGUACAGGUGGUGGCUCAGCCCCAAGUGAGGCUCGGCCUGAAUAACCUCACUAUGCAGAAGUAGAGAGCACCUGGGGAGAAGAGACAGGCUCCUUAUAUCCUGGAUUACCCUGACUCUACUGCAGCCACAGUGUUGUUCUUGAGUUUUAUGUCAGGUGAAUAUUAACAAUAGCAGUAGGAUAGGGUACUAGAUAGUCAGCAUGCUUUUUAGGAAAAAGCACAGAAAUUUUGGAGGUUUUUGAUAUAUCCUAACAUAUGAUUUGUGUGAUGUCUCUGAGGCUCGCUUCCCCAUUUAAAAAUAGAAAUAAUGUGGUCUGGUGCGGUGGCUCAUGCCUAUAAUCCCAGCACUUUGGGAGGCUGAGGUGGGAGGAUCACUGGAGGCCAGGAGUUCGAGACUAGCCUGGCCAAAAUGGCAAAACCCCAUCUCUACUAAAAAUACAAAAAUUAGCUGGGCGUGGUGGUGCAUGCUUGUAAUCCCAGCUACUCGAGAGGCUGAGGCAGGAGGAUUGUUUGAAUCCGGGAGGAGGAGGUUGCAGUGAUCCAAGAUUGUGCCACUGCACUCCAGCCUAGGUGACAGACUCCGUCUCAAAAAAAAAAAAAAAAAAAAAAAGAAUAAUGAUAUGCUCUAGUGAAAUUAAAUGAGACGGCACACUUACCUAGUGAGCCCAGAGUCUGGGGCAUGGUAAGGAUGCAAAAAAUGUUAGUUCCCUCAUACUCCUUCUCUUCUCUGUAGGAAGAAGUGAUUUCCAUCAUAUAUGUUAAUACAGAUUCCCUUGUUAUAUAAAAUUGUAAUUUAUUUGAGAUCAACUUAGAACUUUGUUCUUGCAAAAACAGAGAGAUAGCAAAAUGUAACACAAAAAACACCUCAGAUUAUGGUGACUCAGAUAAUUUACUUUCCAGCUCAGCAGUGUUAGGGAGAGCUUGAGUAAUGAGUGACCUUGAAUUUGAUUUACUCCACUUAAGCUGCUCCUUAAAACCAUUCUUUGUGGUGCCUUCAAGAUGGUUUUGCUUAAGUAUCAUGUCUUCCUCAAAUGGCCCUUGAUAACCAAUCAGUUGUGAUGUCACCUACCUCAACAGAAAAGAAAAAACAUUUCAAUCUGGAGAAAGAUAAAGUGUGCUUCUAUGCUAGAAAUGGCUGUAAAGUGCUACCAAGUAGAAAAAUCUAGAAACAAACCCAAGAUUGUCGAGAAGAUUCUAAAACUUAGCUCUUCCUUUCCUAGAUGAGGGGCUGUUAUUGCAGAGACAAUCUGAAGCCUUGGGGAUUUUAACAUAGGUUACCCAAAAUAUGUAAAUAUAUAGGGAACUGUCUCUCUGUACUUACAUAGCUAUUCAUUACUUUUAUUUGUGACUCUAUGCAAAGCAUAUUUAUAUAAAAAAAUACAAAAACACAUAAUAGACCAUAAAAGUGACAUGUGGAAAGCAGCAUUACCUUGCUCUGCUCUGAGGGGGCGUCAGCCUCCUGACUUGCUUGUGCAUUCGGGUGGCAGCAAAUACGUUAUUACCUGAUCUCAGUUUUAAAAAAGCAGGCACAGGGCACAUCAUGCCAAAUGUUGAAAUGAUCAAACUAAAUAGAAACUUGCUUAAUAUGAACAGUGCUACUCACCCUGACUUGAUUAUACAAUGUAUACAUGUGUUGAAACACCAUACCUUAUUCCAUAAAUAUAUAUAAAUAUGUCAAUACAAAAGAAAAUAAAACUUAAAAGAAAAAAUGAAAUCUGUUAUCCUUACAUCUUUUUUACCUUUAUCACAUCCAGUCACACCCCACUGAUCAGUUUCAGGAGAUGAGGCAUCAGUGUAAUUACAUUUUCCAGACUACUGAAGUUUAACAUUUAAGCACUGAACCCUUUU
rnacentral:lncRNA from 1 species